AUCUUAUUAGUAUAAACAAUUAUAAUUAGCUUCCAACUAAUAGAUCCUUUGAUAAGAUA
rnacentral:tRNA from 1 species